UCAGUAGUCUGCUUUAAUAUGCUGCUUAAACACAAUCAACCAACCAACCAACUUGCAAUUCCCUACAAAAGGUUUCAAUAUAUCUUAUGAAAAGAAAGGAAACCCCUCCACAUAUGUCGUAGUUGUUUUGGUCUGCUGAUCUGGCAAGAGGAAAACAAAACCAAGGAUCAAUGGCAAAACAUUACAAAUUCCAGACUUGCCCCUCCACGUUAAGGCACACAUGUAGUCUUUACACACUAGAGUUGUCCCCAGACGAAGACUGGAUCCUGGACCGGAUGGACAAAUCCCUGUUGUGUGAACACAGAGCUCCAUCAACUUCAGUGGGGAAGGAGGAGACAUUGAAUUAAUGUGAUGCAUCUUGAUCAUCCAAAGACAAUCUCAGGAAUUAUUUCCUCCCCUUCUUCUCCUCUACCCAUAAUUAAUAUUAUCUGCUACUGUCCUUGCAGCAAUGACUGAAGGAGCAACAGAAUAAAAGUAGUGACCCAAGAAAGAAAAUAGUUUCUAUUCAUUCAUUCAUACCAGGCUAGAUUUUGACUUACCUACAAUGCACAUCAAUGUAAGUGCAUGAAGAAAAAUAUGAGGCUCUCAU